rnacentral:rRNA from 1 species
UACAGAGGGUGCAAGCGUUAAUCGGAAUACUGGGCGUAAAGCGUGCGCAGUCGGUUAUUUAAGUCGGAUGUGAAAUCCCCGGGCUCAACCUGGGAACUGCAUUCGAGACUGCAUUGCUAGAGUAUGGGAGAGGGAAGUGGAAUUUCCGGUGUAGCGGUGAAAUGCGUAGAUAUCGGAAGGAACAUCAGUGGCGAAAGCGACUUCCUGGACCAAUACUGACGCUCAUGUGCGAAAGCGUGGGGAGCAAACAGG